rnacentral:rRNA from 1 species
UACAGAGGUCCCAAGCGUUGUUCGGAUUCACUGGGCGUAAAGGGUGCGUAGGCGGUCGGGUAAGUCUGUCGUGAAAUCUCCGAGCCCAACUCGGAAACUGCGUCGGAUACUAUUCGGCUAGAGGAAUGGAGGGGAGACUGGAAUUCUCGGUGUAGCAGUGAAAUGCGUAGAUAUCGAGAGGAACACCAGUGGCGAAGGCGAGUCUCUGGACAGUUCCUGACGCUGAGGGACGAAAGCGUGGGGAGCAAACAGG